UUAGUGUGUGCUAGCGAUUGGAAAUGCUAGUCUAAGCGUUUAGGGAGUUACAGUAGGCAAAUCCGCUGUAACAAUUCUGAGGCGUGAUGGGGAAGGUCAUUAAGACCGAAGUACAUGAUUCCAUGCUUCCAAGAAAAGCAUCUAGAGAGAGAAGUAGUGCCCGUACCGCAAACCGACACAGGUAGAUGAGGAGAGAAUCCUAAGGCCGGCGGAAGAAUUGCAGUUAAGGAACUAGGCAAAUUGACCCCGUAAGUUCGCGAGAAGGGGUGCCUGUGAGAGCAGGCCGCAGAGAAUAGGCCCAAGCAACUGUUUAGCAAAAACACAGGUCUCUGCUAAAGCGUAAGCUGAUGUAUAGGGGCUGACGCCUGCCCGGUGCUGGAAGGUUAAGGGGAACACUUAGCGCAAGCGAAGGUGUGAACUUAAGCCCCAGUAAACGGCGGCCGUAACGAUAACGGUCCUAAGGUAGCGAAAUUCCUUGUCAGGUAAGUUCUGACCCGCACGAAUGGCGUAAUGACUUGGGCACUGUCUCAACUGCAAAUCCGGCGAAGUUGUAGUGCGAGUGAAGAUGCUCGCUACCCGCGAUUGGACGGAAAGACCCCGUAGAGCUUUACUGUAGCUUAGCAUUGAAUUCCGGUAUUGUCUGUACAGGAUAGGUGGGAGACUGGGAAACUAGGGCGUCAGCCUUAGUGGAGUCAACCUUGGGAUACCACCCUGACAGUACUGGGGUUCUAACAGGACGCCAUGAAGCUGGUGACUGGACAUUGUUAGGUGGGCAGUUUGACUGGGGCGGUCGCCUCCUAAAAAGUAACGGAGGCGCCCAAAGGUUCCCUCAGAACGGUCGGAAAUCGUUCGUAGAGUGCAAAGGCAGAAGGGAGCCUGACUGCGAGACCCACAAGUCGAGCAGGGACGAAAGUCGGGCUUAGUGAUCCGGUGGUACCUCGUGGGAGGGCCAUCGCUCAACGGAUAAAAGCUACCUCGGGGAUAACAGGCUGAUCUCCCCCAAGAGUCCACAUCGACGGGGAGGUUUGGCACCUCGAUGUCGGCUCGUCGCAUCCUGGGGCUGUAGUAGGUCCCAAGGGUUGGGCUGUUCGCCCAUUAAAGCGGCACGCGAGCUGGGUUCAGAACGUCGUGAGACAGUUCGGUCCCUAUCCGUCGCGGGCGUAGGAAAUUUGAGAGGAGCUGUCCUUAGUACGAGAGGACCGGGAUGGACUGACCUCUGGUGCACCAGUUGUUCUGCCAAGAGCAUGGCUGGGUAGCUAAGUCGGGAAGGGAUAAACGCUGAAAGCAUCUAAGCGUGAAGCCCCCCUCAAGAUGAGAUUUCCCAUAGCAUAAGCUAGUAAGACCCCUUGAAGAACACAAGGUUGAUAGGUCAGAGGUGGAAGUGCGGUAACGUAUGUAGCUGACUGAUACUAAUAGGUCGAGGGCUUGACC
rnacentral:rRNA from 1 species